GUAGUCCAUGCCGUAAACGUUGGGCGCUAGGUGUGGGGCUCAUUCCACGAGUUCCGUGCCGCAGCUAACGCAUUAAGCGCCCCGCCUGGGGAGUACGGCCGCAAGGCUAAAACUCAAAGGAAUUGACGGGGGCCCGCACAAGCGGCGGAGCAUGCGGAUUAAUUCGAUGCAACGCGAAGAACCUUACCAAGGCUUGACAUGGGGGUGAAAACUCGCAGAGAUGCGGGGGUCCGUAAGGGCGCCUCACAGGUGGUGCAUGGUUGUCGUCAGCUCGUGUCGUGAGAUGUUGGGUUAAG
rnacentral:rRNA from 1 species